GCUGGGUGCAGAGAUGUGAACCUAAAGUUCCACCUGCUCAGGGGGCUGAGGCAGGCAGGAGGGUUGCUUGAGCCCAGGAGUUCAGGGCCAGCAUGGGCAACAGAGCAAGACCCUAUCUU
rnacentral:sRNA from 1 species